GGGGAGCUGAGGAACUGGGGGGCUUAUUCUGGAAAGGCCUCUUGGUGGAAGUGAGCCUUCAGUAGGGCUUUGAAGAGGACAGGAGUGAACGUUUCGCAGAUCUGAUGGUCGGCCCAGGCGUCGAUACGUGUCCUCCUCUCCGGGAGGCCAUGGCCACGUGCGUACGGUCCCAUAAUAAUGAUAAUGAUGGUAUUUGUUAAGCUAUUACUAUGUGACAGGCACUGUUCUAAGUGCUAGUGUAGAUACAAGCUAAUCAGGUUGGACACAGUCCCUGUCCCACAUAGGGCUCACGGUCUUAAUCCCCAUUUCACAGAUGAGGUGACUGAGGCCCAGAGAAGCAAAGUGUCUUGCCCAAAGUCACAAAGGAGACAAGUGGCGGAGCUGGGAUUAGAACCCCGUCGUUCUGGCCCCCCGGGCCCGUGUUCUAGCCACGAGGCGAUGCUGCUUCCCCUGGCCAGAGACCGGGAUGUCCUCCAAGUCGUCAGCAGGGAAGGCGAGUGGUUUCUUGGAUGGCAGGCGUUUGCCAUGGACAGAGGCGGCCCCGAUCCUGAAGCAGAGUCGGCCCGGUGCGCGUGUCUGAAGAUGAGUUGGGUGGCGUGCGUGACACUUUCUCCCGAUCUGCUCAUAUAGAUGACGGUGCCAAGUGUCUACAGGCGAGGGAUGGAAUCGGUCCUCUCUCCCGUGAAGCCAAGUUACCUUACGUUAACGGAGAUUAUGGUGACUCUGAAAUGUCUCCGUCCCGAUCUCUGCCAACGCAGAGGCCCCUGCAUGGAGGAUCACAGUCACGGCUUUAGAAGCCUAAUUGCUCUU
rnacentral:lncRNA from 1 species